AGUGAACGCUGGCGGUAGGCCUAACACAUGCAAGUCGAACGGCAGCACAGUAAGAGCUUGCUCUUACGGGUGGCGAGUGGCGGACGGGUGAGGAAUACAUCGGAAUCUACUUUUUCGUGGGGGAUAACGUAGGGAAACUUACGCUAAUACCGCAUACGACCUACGGGUGAAAGCAGGGGAUCUUCGUACCUUGCGCGAUUGAAUGAGCCGAUGCCGGAUUAGCUAGUUGGCGGGGUAAAGGCCCACCAAGGCGACGAUCCGUAGCUGGUCUGAGAGGAUGAUCAGCCACAAUGGAACUGAGACACGGUCCAGACUCCUACGGGAGGCAGCAGUGGGGAAUAUUGGACAAUGGGCGCAAGCCUGAUCCAGCCAUACCGCGUGGGUGAAGAAGGCCUUCGGGUUGUAAAGCCCUUUUGUUGGGAAAGAAAAGCAGCAGGUUAAUACCCCGCUGUUCUGACGGUACCCAAAGAAUAAGCACCGGCUAACUUCGUG
rnacentral:rRNA from 1 species